UACGGAGGGAGCUAGCGUUGUUCGGAAUUACUGGGCGUAAAGCGCACGUAGGCGGCUUUGUAAGUUAGAGGUGAAAGCCUGGGGCUCAACUCCAGAACUGCCUUUAAGACUGCAUCGCUUGAAUCAUGGAGAGGCGGGUGGAAUUCCGAGUGUAGAGGUGAAAUUCGUAGAUAUUCGGAAGAACACCAGUGGCGAAGGCGGCCCGCUGGACAUGUAUUGACGCUGAGGUGCGAAAGCGUGGGGAGCAAACAGG
rnacentral:rRNA from 1 species